CCGCCCAUAGCUCAAUUGACAGAGUGAUGGACUGUCGAUUCAUAAGUCGCUGGUUAGACUCCGGCUCGACAGA